AGUGAACGCUGGCGGUAGGCCUAACACAUGCAAGUCGAACGGCAGCACAGUAAGAGCUUGCUCUUACGGGUGGCGAGUGGCGGACGGGUGAGGAAUACAUCGGAAUCUACUUUUUCGUGGGGGAUAACGUAGGGAAACUUACGCUAAUACCGCAUACGACCUACGGGUGAAAGCAGGGGAUCUUCGGACCUUGCGCGAUUGAAUGAGCCGAUGUCGGAUUAGCUAGUUGGCGGGGUAAAGGCCCACCAAGGCGACGAUCCGUAGCUGGUCUGAGAGGAUGAUCAGCCACACUGGGACUGAGACACGGUCCAGACUCCUACGGGAGGCAGCAGUGGGGAAUAUUGGACAAUGGGCGCAAGCCUGAUCCGGCCAUACCGCGUGGGUGAAGAAGGCCUUCGGGUUGUAAAGCCCUUUUGUUGGGAAAGAAAAGCAGCAGGUUAAUACCCCGCUGUUCUGACGGUACCCAAAGAAUAAGCACCGGCUAACUUCGUG
rnacentral:rRNA from 1 species